ensembl:misc_RNA Metazoa_SRP Metazoan signal recognition particle RNA
GCUGGGCAUGGUGGCGCGUGCCUGUAAUCCCAGCUACUUAGAAGCCGAGGCAGGAGAACCACUCGAACCCGGGAGGCGGAGUUUGCAGUGAGCUGAGAUUGCGCCACUGCGCUCCAGCCUGGGUGACAGAGUGAGAUUCUGUUUCAG